rnacentral:rRNA from 1 species
CGUAGGAGGCAAGCGUUAUCCGGAUUCACUGGGCGUAAAGCGCGUGCAGGUGGCGCGGUAAGUUGGGCGUGAAAUCUCCCGGCUCAACUGGGAGAGGUCGUCCAAUACUACCGUGCUUGAGAGCAGAAGAGGAAGAUGGAAUUCCCGGUGUAGUGGUGAAAUGCGUAGAUAUCGGGAGGAACACCAGUGGCGAAGGCGAUCUUCUGGUCUGUUUCUGACACUCAGACGCGACAGCUAGGGUAGUAAACGGGAUUAGAGACCCCGGUAAUCCUAGCCGUAAACGAUGUGAACUUGGCGUUGGUGGGUUAAACUCCAUCAGUGCCGUAGCAAGCGCGAUAAGUUCACCGCCCGGGGACUACGGCCGCAAGGUUA